rnacentral:rRNA from 1 species
CAAGUCGAGCGAGAACCAGGGCUUCGGCCCUGGGGACAGCGGCGAACGGGUGAGUAACACGUGGGUAAUCAACCCCCGACACCGGGAUAGCCCAGGGAAACUUGGAUUAAUACCGGAUGCUCCGUCUGGCCUUCGGGCCGGCCGGAAAAGGGUAGCUUCGGCCUCCGGUCGGGGACGAGCCCGCGGCGGAUUAGCUUGUUGGUGAGGUAAAGGCUCACCAAGGCGACGAUCCGUAGCUGGUCUGAGAGGACGAUCAGCCACACUGGGACUGAGACACGGCCCAGACUCCUACGGGAGGCAGCAGUAGGGAAUCUUGCGCAAUGGGCGAAAGCCUGACGCAGCGACGCCGCGUGAGGGAAGAAGGCCUUCGGGUUGUAAACCUCUUUCAGGAGGGACGAAGCCACUCGGGUUAAUAGCCUAGAGGGUGACGGUACCUCCAGAAGAAGCCCCGGCUAACUACGUGCCAGCAGCCGCGGUAAUACGUAGGGGGCAAGCGUUGUCCGGAUUUAUUGGGCGUAAAGAGCGUGUAGGCGGCCUUACAGGUCAGCUGUGAAAACUCGAGGCUCAACCUCGAGAGGUCGGUUGAAACCGUAAGGCUAGAGUCCGGAAGAGGAGAGUGGAAUUCCCGGUGUAGCGGUGAAAUGCGCAGAUAUCGGGAAGAACACCCGUGGCGAAGGCGGCUCUCUGGGACGGUACUGACGCUGAGACGCGAAAGCGUGGGGAGCGAACAGGAUUAGAUACCCUGGUAGUCCACGCCGUAAACGAUGGGCACUAGGUGUGGCGGGUAUCGACUCCCGCUGUGCC